CACGUAGGGUGCGAGCGUUGUCCGGAAUUAUUGGGCGUAAAGAGCUCGUAGGCGGUUUGUCGCGUCUGCCGUGAAAGUCCGGGGCUCAACUCCGGAUCUGCGGUGGGUACGGGCAGACUAGAGUGAUGUAGGGGAGACUGGAAUUCCUGGUGUAGCGGUGAAAUGCGCAGAUAUCAGGAGGAACACCGGUGGCGAAGGCGGGUCUCUGGGCCGUAACUGACGCUGAGGAGCGAAAGCGUGGGGAGCGAACAGG
rnacentral:rRNA from 1 species